rnacentral:tRNA from 1 species
GGGGAUGUAGCUCAGUGGUAGAGUGCAUUAUUUGCAUGUAAGAGGCCCUGGGUUCAACCCUGCAUCUCCA